rnacentral:tRNA from 1 species
GGUAAGGCAGCGGGUUUUGAUCCCGCCAUUCGUUGGUUCGAAUCCAGCUACCCCUGCCA